UGGGGGAUAUUGCACAAUGGGCGAAAGCCUGAUGCAGCGACGCCGCGUGGGGGAUGAAGGCCUUCGGGUUGUAAACUUCUUUUGCUCUGAACAAGGCAUGCCUUUGGGGUGUGGUGAGUGUAGGGGUCGAUUAGCGCCGGCUAACUACGUGCCAGCAGCCGCGGUAAUACGUAGGGCGCGAGCGUUGUCCGGAAUUAUUGGGCGUAAAGGGCUUGUAGGUGGCUGGUUGCGUCUGUCGUGAAAGCUCAUGGCUUAACUGUGGGUUUGCGGUGGGUACGGGCUGGCUUGAGUGCAGUAGGGGAGGCUGGAAUUCCUGGUGUAGCGGUGGAAUGCGCAGAUAUCAGGAGGAAUACCGGUGGCGAAGGCGGGUCUCUGGGCUGUUACUGACGCUGAGGAGCGAAAGCGUGGGGAGCGAACAGG
rnacentral:rRNA from 1 species